GGGAGCGCGUGCGUGGUGGAGCGCGCGCGCCCCCGCCCCCUCCACCGUUUGGGGGUGGGGAGUGGCGGGGAGAGAGAGAGAAGACCGAACCGUUUUCUCCGCGGAGAGGUUUGGCCCUGGCUCUGCCUCUCUGUGAGACUUUAUAAAAUUUUAAGACUCUGGAUGAUGGUACUCUCCUCCAAAGAAGAAUUCACCUUCUGGCAGUGAGAUACACUUCAGGCAUAUCGCCUUUAUCCAGUCCUUGAUCUGAAGUAUUAAGAGCUCCAAUAUUCAGCUUGCUAAAUUCUCCUAACUUUCACUUCGUGGAAAAGUCCAAAUCAAGGAUGACAACUAGAUUUCCUCUGUCAUGCCAACUCUAACCCGUUGAUCAUGACUACUGCGAGCACCGUGUUGAGAAGCUUUGGAGGGGGCGCGGCAUCUGGGCCCCAGGGGCAUUGCGUGGUGCUAGAUGAGUCUGUUCACCACAGGGCUCUGAGGGUGCCCUGUUUUAAAUCGCCUAUCUGUCAUCCUGGAGCCCAGACGUGCUGCCUGCCUUGCCCUCAGCUGCCUGAUGUCCCAGCCCGCCUGGACUCUUUCUUAGCCACUGCUCUGAUGUCCACAUACUUGGAGUGCUUCCGGUCCUCCUGGUAAACCUCGAGAUAUCCCGUCUCCAGCCAGUCACAGCCCUGGGGUGACUGUGGAUCUGGCUUCUGCUACCUGUUCAGAAAUGAGGUACCUGUGUGCUACCUGCUGGGGGAGCUGAGUUCAUGUGUGUCUGGUAAACAUCCUUCUUCCGCCUUUCCUGGUUGUCACUGCUUCCAGAAACGCUAUGGGACAGAUUAGGUAAGAAGUGCUACCAGCGAAAGACCGGCCAGAAAUGAAGAUGAAGCAUCUCUGAAAUGGUCAAGGAGGUUGCUAGGAGUAUUGACUCGAUUUACAAAACUUCUGUUUACAAAACUUCUGUUUACUCACGACUUUCCCGGUAGGAGAAAGGCAGGAUGCCUGUAGUGAUAGCCAACUGCAGCAUCCCUAGAGACGCAUGUCCACGGAGUCAUCCGGAAAAACACACUGGGGACAAGGGGCUUUUCAGAGGAGACAGUGCUGGAGCUUGGCGGUACCCACACUGGAUUGUCUGGUUUUCCUCCAGCAGCAUUUGGUCCCGAGGCUGCCCCGCGGCAGAGGAGUGGGGGCAGGGAGAGCCGAGACACCAAAGCUUGAAGGGCAGCUGAAUAGGAAGCAGCUUACAGCAUGUGGGCUCAAUUUUCCUCAAAAAGCUCAUAAUAUAACUGUCAAAAAUGGCACUAUGAACCCCAAUUGUAAGGUAAUUAUGUUCAGUCCCAAAUUCAACACAAUAAACGUUAUUUGCUCGCAAGCCCUAGCAACCAUCUCAUAAGGGGGAGAAAAAUACUGUACAAAAAACAAAAUGUAAACUCACAAGGCAGUAAUAAAACAGGCACACAACUAUUCAUUUCAAGUCUAUUUUGAAAAGCCUUUGAUAAUACCAGUAAUUCCCCAUAAAGCUCAUAGUCUCCUGCCACAGUUCCCUGCUGGAGAUAGAAAAAGGUUUUGCUGUUCUACAGUCAUUCCAUUUAAGGAGAUAAAGUCCACUUUCUUUCCCAAUUUUAAAUGUUUUUCAUUCUUAAAAAAAAGUUAAAUCCCUAACCACCUCUAUCCAGCUAAGCCUACCACCUAGGCAGGGCUCAGGGGCAGUAUCCAUGUGACUACUUCUUGCUUUGCACAACAAAAUUCAUUCAGUGGUCUUAACAAGGUGCUUAAAUGGAGUCCAAGAGCCUUGUCCACAAGGUACUGAAACGUUCCCCAAAAGGUAGAAAAUUCAACCAACCGUCUGCCCAUUUCUAAAUAUUCUGAUGCUUCUGAGCACGCAGGCCAGGCGGUCUCCCUUUUACAUCCUGGCUGACACGAGGGAGGCUGAGCAACUCCUCCGGGCACCGCUGGCAGGUGUACCUACAACAGAGGAAGGAAGGGGUAGGGGCUUGAGAUACACCUUUGGUUGUAAGAACAGAAACCUACUUAGACAAGUAAGAGGGUGAUGGUUAUAUCCUCUCAUGGACCCUGAGGAAAAGCUGAGCAGUCGGGCCUUGGGGAGAGCGGGAACCAGCAGCAAUUUUGGUGGGGGAGUGAAGUGGCAGGGAAAGGACAGGCAGGGCCGUGUACAGGGACAGAGGCCCCUAGAAGGGACUGGGCAUGUGGGUAAUUAGUCCCUUUAAUACAGGAAGACAGAAAGGAAAAGAAAGAAGAACAGAUGGUGGGGGAUGAAGUAAAAUAAUAGGAACCAAAGUGAAAAGGAAGAUAAGCAUUAACUGAGGAGUGAAGAAAUGUUAUCAACAAAAGUUUCAGCCAGCAGUCAGCAGCUCCCUGGUGCUGAAGGUCAGCCCGUCCCCUUCAAUCAAUCAACUAAAGCUUAGACUCUGCCUACUGUCCGAGCCCCUUCAUGGACAUGCAUGUACCCACAGCUUAAGAGUCCCCUAAUUUUGUUGUUUGGAGAGACACUUCUUUGGGAAACAACCCCAGUGUUCUUAUUUGCUGCAAGUAAUAAUAAACCCUUCGUUCUCCCGGGGCGGGGGUGGGGGGAUCAGCUGUCCCUAAUGUAGAACCAGCCUGUGUAGUACUGCAAAUACAAAGCCCUUCUAAUUUACCCACGUUGGUCAUUCUGAGUUACAUGAUUUAUAUUCUGAUUUUACGGACUAACUGUAAAGAGAGAAAGUUGUAUUCAUUGAAAGGAUGUGUAUGAUCUCGAAGAAGUCCA